rnacentral:rRNA from 1 species
CCUACGGGUGGCAGCAGUGAGGAAUAUUGGUCAAUGGGCUUACGCCUGAACCAGCCAAGUCGCGUGAGGGAAGACUGCCCUAUGGGUUGUAAACCUCUUUUGUCAGGGAGCAACGCCGGCUACGUGUAGCCGGACUGAGAGUACCUGAAGAAAAAGCAUCGGCUAACUCCGUGCCAGCAGCAGCGGUAAUACGGAGGAUUCAAGCGUUAUCCGGAUUUAUUGGGUUUAAAGGGUGCGUAGGCGGUCGGAUAAGUUAGAGGUGAAAUCCCGAGGUUCAACGUCGGAAUUGCCUCUGAUACUGUUCGGCUAGAGAGUAGUUGCGGUAGGCGGAAUGUAUGGUGUAGCGGUGAAAUGCGUAGAUAUAAGGAAGAACACCAGUGGCGAAGGCGGAUGACUGGACGGCAACUGACGGUGAGGCGCGAAAGCGUGGGGAGCAAACAGGAUUAGAUACCCGGGUAGUC